rnacentral:rRNA from 1 species
UAGAUUAUAAAUAUUGUUAAUUUAAUAUAGGGGUGAUAGGUUAUAUAAGAAAAUCAUUUUUAUUAAGGGUAGAGAAUAAGUAAAGGUUAUUGAAAUUUUAAGUUUAACGAUAGAGUAAAAGUACUGAAAAGGAAAUAAAGAAGGAAAAAUAUGUUGGUUAAAAAUUAUUAUAGUAAAUAUAAAGGGUUGUACCUUGUGUAUCAGGGAAGAUCAAAUUUUAUUAAAUAUAUUAAUUAUCUCGAAAUAAGAAUAGCUAAUUAUAUAAGAAAGUUUUUGUAUCAUAAAGAUUUGGAAUAUAUAGUUAAAGAUGAAACAUCAUACGAGUCUUAUUAUAUCUAGUUUUCUGAAAAUAAAUUCAAUUUGGGGUUUAAAAGGGAGGUGAAAAAAAGAGUAGUUUUAAAGUCUAAGAGUAGGAGGGGUUAGCUUCUUAUUCAAUAAAAUUGAAAUAAUAGUUAAGUAAUUUAAUAGUAGUUUUCCUAGGCUUAAAAAUAGCUAUGGUUAUAAAUUGUUUUUAUUGAGAUAAAGUAAAAAAGAUAUUUAUCUUAACUUUAAUUAGUAUCGGAAUAUUAAUUGAAAUUUUGUUAGUUAAAUUAUAAUGAUUUUAUUAGUAUAGUUAAUGUUUUUAUAGGUAGAAGUUAAAUUUUUUUAAAGAAAGUUUAAAGUAGUUAAGAUGUGAUAAAGGAACUCGGCAAAUAUAUUCCUUGCCUGUUUAUCAAAAACAUGUCCGUUUGGAGUUAUAAAUGGUCUGACCUGCUCACUGAUAAAUGAUAUUGUUUAAGAGCCGCGGUAUAUUGACCGUGCAAAGGUAGCAUAAUAAUUAGUUUUUUAAUUGGAAACUUGUAUGAAUGGUUGGACAAGGGUGUAUCUGUCUCUAUAGCAAAAAUAGAAAUUAACUUUUAAGUGAAAAGGCUUAAAUGAGCCAGGGGGACGAUAAGACCCUAUAAAGCUUUAUAUGUUGAUUAGAUUUGGUUGAAGUAGAAAAAUAAAAAUUUAAUUUGAUUAUCAUAUUUUAUUGGGGCGAUAUAGGUAUAAUUUAUAUUAACUGCUUAGGUGAAAAACAUCAAGAUGAAUGUUUUAAAGUUAAAUGAUCCUUUAUAAAGAUUAAGAGACUAAGUUACUUUAGGGAUAACAGCGUUAUUUUUUUUGAGAGUUCAUAUCGAAAAAAAAGUUUGCGACCUCGAUGUUGAAUUAAAAUGUCUAUAUAAUGCAGCCGUUAUAUAAGAAGGUCUGUUCGACCUUUAAAUUUUUACAUGAUUUGAGUUCAGACCGGCGUGAGCCAGGUCGGUUUCUAUCUCUUGGGGAAAAUGUAAUAUUACUUUAGUACGAAAGGAUUGAGUAAUUCAAAAUUUUUUGAAAGUAUGGAAUA